CACGAGCAGAGGAGAAUGGACUCGUCGCAAAGGCGGAACCUUCUACUCAGAAGAGGGAAGAAGCAGACCUCCAAGGAUGGGAGUGAACUCUCGGAAGAAGAGAAGAGAAAGGAGGCAAUGUGGAUGGACAGAACAGAGCAAAGUCGAUCAGUAACAUGAGAGAUGAUAAGAGACAUCAAGAAGCAUGUUGUAGAAUCUGCGGAAUAUUCCAAUGGCGAUGAGUGGGUUUCCUCCGAGGUGAUUUCUCCAAGACCUAUCGCAGCGUGGUUGCCCGAUCAGCACAGGGGGGAAUGGGACCCGAUGACAUGCUGGUACAGCGAGAACUGAGAAUAAAUCUUCACUUAUUGGUCGUUAAAAGUAGAUCAUUAUAAGUCGUCUUCUCCACACGGAAGUGGCUGUCAUGGAACGACAACCUGAAUGGCUCUUCUCAUGCUUGCAGAAACAAAAUACGAGAACAUAACAUGAUUGAUGAUUAGGGCAGGAAGACCGGAAGAGGUAAUUUAAGGGCAGUGGUGUGGGACAUGUAACGAAGACUUGUUGAUACGCAUGCGGAAGAGGAGACUUCCUGGCAACUUAUAUAAGCGGACAAACAAUAAGACGGUUGUCUUAUGAUUGUUAACAUUCGCAUUUGGCCCAAAAAGUCUCACCCCCUCGCAUCAGAGGUUGGGAAUCUAUCGCAUCUGUGUGAGUUUCUAAUGCAAGUUGUAGCAGAUAACUUCGAUUAGCAGAGAGUCGGCCAACGUGUAAUGUCAUCUCGAAAGCCUUAGCUCAUAAGAAAAUAAUGAAGGAAGAUGUGAUGUCUUUGUCAAACAAGUCGAAGAAACUUGAGUUGAAAGA